ACGCCCCACCGACAUCUUUGAUUGUGGCACCUGUGUAUUGUAGACGAGUCAGAAGAUGGACGCUUCUACAUGAGGGAGGAUUUGUUUUGUGACCUGCUAUGUCUCAUUUAAUAUAAUGUCUACCUAAUUUCAUAAUAAGUCAAUCAAGCGUGGGGCUAGACACCUUACUUCCGCUUCAAUCUGUAUUCCACUAGUUCAUAAUCACUUCCGGUGUCAUGGCAUACUUAGUGUAUUUACUUAAAAGCAUUAACCAUGUUAUCCUUGCCCAGACAAAUAUUUAUUGAUGACUGAAGAGAUAUUAUCUUUAAGCCACAUUUAGUGUAACGAGACAUUAACUGUAUGUGUGUCCAAACACUGCCCAGUUUUGGAACUCAAACAGCAAUUGCGGGAUUUCCUAGCCUCCCUGAACGUCCCGCCGACAUCUUUGAUUGGUGUCACCUGUAAAGAUGUCGACAGGAAGAUAGAAGAUUCUACAUGAGGGACAUUUUCAUCUGGUGCUUCCAGAGGAUGUCAGGACCACUCAGGGAACUGUCCCCUUUGGAAGGGAACCAAGAGCAGCACUAUCUUCAUGCCAUGGAAGGCAUUCAUCACGUUUGAAGAUGGCGGAUCAGGAGCAGACAAUGGCUGACUGUGGGAUCUGAAGAUCUUUUCAGUUCUAACUUGUGUGAAGAUCAGAGCAAAGCUGCAAUUGAUGUGGUCCAGGCUGUCAAACACAAGACCGUGUCAACAACACAAGCUAGUUUCUGUUAUCAAUGAAGAUGAGCCGGAAGCCAAAGCCUCGGGGGAAGAGUCGUUUUGCCACUUCCUCUAUAGAAAGACUGAUUGUACCAACAAUGUCUUCACUAACAAAUGCAAUUCUGCUAGAUUUGAGAAAGCAGUGCACUGUAAGAGUUGUUGCACGAUGCUGUCAACUAGACAACACAAGAUUGUUCUGUUCUGUCAGCCAUGUUUGCUGUGAAACCUCCUUCAACGCUACAAAGAGAUGGAAAACAUUGAACUCAUACAUUGUGUCAAGUGUCAUAUGUUUUGCUGGCACAUUGGUGUGACA